UACGUAGGUGGCAAGCGUUGUCCGGAUUUAUUGGGUUUAAAGGGUGCGUAGGCGGUUCCAUAAGUCAGUGGUGAAAUACAAUAGCUUAACUAUUGAGGUGCCAUUGAUACUGCGGAACUUGAGUACAGACGAGGUAGGCGGAAUUGACGGUGUAGCGGUGAAAUGCUUAGAUAUCGGGAGGAACAUCAGUGGCGAAGGCGGCCCUCUGGUCCAGUACUGACACUCAAGUGCGAAAGCGUGGGGAGCAAACAGG
rnacentral:rRNA from 1 species